GACGAACGCUGGCGGCGUGCCUAACACAUGCAAGUCGAACGGGGUGUUCCUUCGGGGACACUUAGUGGCGAACGGGUGAGUAACGCGUGAGAAACCUACCUUUCAGUGGGGGACAACAGUUGGAAACGACUGCUAAUACCGCAUAACGUAUCGAGGGGGCAUCCUUUUGAUACCAAAGCUUAAUGUGCUGAAAGAUGGUCUCGCGUCUGAUUAGCUAGUUGGCGGGGUAACGGCCCACCAAGGCGACGAUCAGUAGCCGGUCUGAGAGGAUGAACGGCCACAUUGGGACUGAGAUACGGCCCAGACUCCUACGGGAGGCAGCAGUGGGGAAUAUUGGGCAAUGGGGGAAACCCUGACCCAGCAACGCCGCGUGAAGGAAGAAGGCCUUCGGGUUGUAAACUUCUUUUAGCAGGGACGAAGGACGUGACGGUACCUGCAGAAAAGCAACGGCUAACUACGUG
rnacentral:rRNA from 1 species